rnacentral:rRNA from 1 species
UUCCGGUUGAUCCUGCCGGACCCGACCGCUAUCGGGGUAGGGCUAAGCCAUGCGAGUCGUGCGCCCGGGGGCGCCCGGGAGCGGCGCACGGCUGAGUAACACGUGGCUAACCUACCCUCGGGAGGGGGAUAACACCGGGAAACUGGUGCUAAUCCCCCAUAGGGGAGGGCGCCUGGAAGGGUCCCUCCCCGAAAGGGUACGGCGGGGGUUAUCGCCGCCGUGCCGCCCGAGGAUGGGGCUGCGGCCCAUCAGGUAGUUGGCGGGGUAACGGCCCGCCAAGCCGAAGACGGGUAGGGGCCGUGAGAGCGGGAGCCCCCAGAUGGGCACUGAGACAAGGGCCCAGGCCCUACGGGGCGCACCAGGCGCGAAACCUCCGCAAUGCGGGAAACCGUGACGGGGUCACCCCGAGUGCCCCCGAUAAGGGGGCUUUUCCCCGCUGUAAGAAGGCGGGGGUAAUAAGCGGGGGGCAAGUCUGGUGUCAGCCGCCGCGGUAAUACCAGCCCCGCGAGUGGUCGGGACUAUUACUGGGCCUAAAGCGCCCGUAGCCGGCCCGGUGUGUCCCCUCCUAAAUCCUCGGGCUCAACCCGAGGGGUGGAGGGGAUACUACCGGGCUAGGGGGCGGGAGAAGCCGAGGGUACUCCCGGGGUAGGGGCGAAAUCCGAUAAUCCCGGGAGGACCACCAGUGGCGAAAGCGCUCGGCUGGAACGCGCCCGACGGUGAGGGGCGAAAGCUGGGGGAGCAAAGGGGAUUAGAUACCCCUGUAGUCCCAGCUGUAAACGAUGCGGGCUAGCCGUCGGGCGGGCUUAGAGCCCGCCCGGUGGCGCAGGGAAGCCGUUAAGCCCGCCGCCUGGGGAGUACGGCCGCAAGGCUGAAACUUAAAGGAAUUGGCGGGGGGGCACCACAAGGGGUGAAGCUUGCGGCUUAAUUGGAGUCAACGCCGGA